CACGUAGUUAGCCGUCCCUUUCUGGUAAGCUACCGUCACAGUGUGAACUUUCCACUCUCACACCCGUUCUUGACUUACAACAGAGCUUUACGAUCCGAAAACCUUCUUCACUCACGCGGCGUUGCUCGGUCAGGGUUGCCCCCAUUGCCGAAGAUUCUCUACUGCUGCCUCCCGUAGGAGUCUGGGCCGUGUCUCAGUCCCAGUGUGGCCGAUCACCCUCUCAGGUCGGCUAUGUAUCGUCGCCUAGGUGAGCCAUUACCUCACCUACUAGCUAAUACAACGCAGGUCCAUCUUGUAGUGGAGCAAUUGCCCCUUUCAAAUAAAUGACAUGUGUCAUCCAUUGUUAUGCGGUAUUAGCUAUCGUUUCCAAUAGUUAUCCCCCGCUACAAGGCAGGUUACCUACGCGUUACUCACCCGUUCGCAACUCAUCCAAGAGAGCAAGCUCCUCUCUUCAGCGUUCUACUUGCAUGUAUUAGGCACGCCGCCAGCGUCGUCCG
rnacentral:rRNA from 1 species